rnacentral:rRNA from 1 species
GACGAACGCUGGCGGCGUGCCUAAUACAUGCAAGUCGAACGCAGUGGGGACGGGUGAGUAACACGUGGGUAACCUCCCAUCAGAGGGGAUAACACUUGGAAACAGGUGCUAAACCGAUACUGAUGGAUGGACCCGAGGUGCAUUAGCUAGUUGGUGAGGGACCGGCUCACCAAGGCAACGAUGCAUAGCCGACCAGAGCAGGUGAUGGACCACACGGGGACUGAGGCACGGCCCAGAUGCCUACGGGAGGCAGCAGUAGGGAAUGUACGGCAAUGGACGAAAGUCUGACCGAGAAACGCAGCGUGAGUGAAGAAGGUUUUCGGAUCGUAAAACUCUGUUGUUAGAGAAGCGGUAUCUAACCAGAAAGCCACGGCUAACGACGUGCCAGCAGCCGCGGUAAUUC